rnacentral:rRNA from 1 species
GUCUUCGGAUGCUGACGAGUGGCGAACGGGUGAGUAAUACAUCGGAACGUGCCUAGUAGUGGGGGAUAACUACUCGAAAGAGUAGCUAAUACCGCAUGAGAUCUACGGAUGAAAGCAGGGGACCUUCGGGCCUUGUGCUACUAGAGCGGCUGAUGGCAGAUUAGGUAGUUGGUGGGGUAAAAGCUUACCAAGCCUGCGAUCUGUAGCUGGUCUGAGAGGACGACCAGCCACACUGGGACUGAGACACGGCCCAGACUCCUACGGGAGGCAGCAGUGGGGAAUUUUGGACAAUGGGCGAAAGCCUGAUCCAGCAAUGCCGCGUGCAGGAUGAAGGCCCUCGGGUUGUAAACUGCUUUUGUACGGAACGAAAAGCCUGGGGCUAAUAUCCCCGGGUCAUGACGGUACCGUAAGAAUAAGCACCGGCUAACUACGUGCCAGCAGCCGCGGUAAUACGUAGGGUGCAAGCGUUAAUCGGAAUUACUGGGCGUAAAGCGUGCGCAGGCGGUUUUGUAAGACAGUGGUGAAAUCCCCGGGCUCAACCUGGGAACUGCCAUUGUGACUGCAAGGCUAGAGUGCGGCAGAGGGGGAUGGAAUUCCGCGUGUAGCAGUGAAAUGCGUAGAUAUGCGGAGGAACACCGAUGGCGAAGGCAAUCCCCUGGGCCUGCACUGACGCUCAUGCACG